GGGCGAAAGAAGAUGGCUGACAACGAUUGAUCGAUUUAUAUGUGAUCGCGUUUCGAUGCGCAGAAGCGUAAGAUUGACAGAAAUGUUAGCUUAACUUUGUUACGCGUUUUAUUCAAAGCAGUUAAUUCAGUCACGUUAUACACGUGCAGAUGAGAUUCGAGUGGCUUUAUACACGUUCGUAUGGGUUGGAAAAAAGAGGAAGGAAGAAAAAGAAGAAGAAAAAAAGUUAUACGUUCAAUGUUAACUAUCAGUGCCAAGAUGUCAUCGUCUCCUCUACAAUUUACAAGGGGGAAAGGGAACGCAACGCUAUCCGACUAAAUUUAAUGAGCCACAUCUGAAGAAAAGGAAGAAUUCAGAAGCGAAGAUGAUGGAGGUGAAAAAAAAAAGAAGCAUAUUAACGUUAUAAGUUACGAGGAAUUUAACAGGUAAUAUGGAAAAAAAUUUGGUCUCCUUGGCAAGGUCGUCUACUCCUCCUCCAACACCUGCCGGAUUACAGGUUAUACACCACUACACGUCGCGCACACGACAGUCGCCACGAGUUUUGCGUUUUUUGAGGUAAAGAAAACAAAAAAAAAAAAAAAACAAGAAUAACAUAAAAAAUAUUAUGCAUUAUAAGGUGAAUACAAUUUAUACAUAAGAAUCUCCGCGAUACAUUGUGUAACGCGGCUGAUUUAUGUAAUUAUUUAAAAACGGAAAUUAUUCGUUUUUGGAAAUUCGAGUUAAAAUAAAAAAAAAAAAAAAAAAAAACAACUUCUCACUCAUCAGCCGCUGAUUAAAUUUCAAAGAAUAUUUUUACCGAGUCUCGAUGAAAUCCAAAAAAAUUGGAAAGGAAACGGUAAAUCAGUCGGGUAAGAACCUCCGACUUUUUUCUGAAUAUAAAAUCUUUUCGUUUUUCGUUGGAUUUUUGGUAAAACAUGAGAACCAUUUUUUGGUGCAUCUGGUUGUGAUCGACGAUGUUGAUAACGAUACGUCUGAUUUUCUCAGGAUAUACAUAUAAAUGCUCAUAAUAAUGUGAGAUGGGUUGAAAUUGCGGAUUGACAUUAAGCCUAGAUCGGUUGAAAUGUUUGAUUGCAUCUCGUGAGUUACGAGCCACCGUAACUUAAGGAUAUUUAUUAGAUACCGGAUUCCUGAAUAAAAAUCUGUUUUGAUUUCUCUGGAAUUCGCAUAUUGACGUCAAUUCAUUUUAAAACCAGGAUGUGUUCAAAAAUGUUAAGCAAUUGGCCGUAGUCGACUAUACCUAUAUAUUUCACGCCGUACACGCCGGGCGUAUCUACGGUAUAAGAAAUUUUAUAGUGAUUUUGACCGACAUAAAUUUUCAGGAAUCCGACCUCAUCCAUUGUCAAACGUGUUUCUAUCAUUUUUUUGUUCCCCUGCGUUAAAAACGGACGAGAUCCGAAACAAGGAGAAUCAAAAACUAAAACCAGAAACAUAAAAUUGAGAUGAGAAAAAAAAAAGUGAGCGUGCAGCAAUAAAAAUGUCAGGACAAUGUUCUCAAAAAACUGUCGGAUCGGUUGAUAGGUUUUUGUCGAGCGGAUUGUGGCCGGUCUCAUAAUUCUAAUUUAGGAAAUAUCGAAAUUGUAAUCGUCGCUCGUGAAUCGCGGACGAAUUGAAGAUGUUAUAAUGCGCGUAUACAGUUUUUACGUAUAGAAAUUAAAUUAUUGUGGCAGGAAAAAGCAGGUUUUAAUUUGAAUACGGAGUCAAAAAUCAUCGUAGCUAUAGUGGCUGGCGCCGAGACGGCGCGACAACAAAAUAUCUCGAAGGAGGCAGACACCAAAAGCGAUCGGCGAAAAAGACUAGCGUAGCAUAGCCUAACCUAGCAGCCACUCAGAAUUUAAGCAGGUUGGAGGCGGCACUCGCUACUCCCGGGCCUCACGUACGUUGAAAUUUCCUGUGUGUGGUCGUCGAUUGGACGGCCGCGAGGAUUGCCGAUAUGCAGGCAGAACUGAAAACGAAUAUUCACGAUGUUCAAAUUUCACCUAAAUUCUAUCUGACCUGUACGUUAAUUAUGACAGAUUGUAUACAAUUAUGAUCUGAAUUAUGAGAUGUGCGAAAUCUGACAGUCAUUGUUAAAAAAUCCCUCAACUGUUCGGGACAAUUUACCGGAGAGACCCGAUUGAAUCCUGAUCAGGUUGUCCUAGGUUUCCUCAUAAUAAUUGUUCAUUUUUGUACAAAAUAUCAGAUUUUGACUUCAUGAACCGAUUUUUGGUAAAAUCAUAUCUUUUUUUUUCAUUCAAACAUCCCAUAUACUUAUUGGGGGAUCUUGCGUUUGGCGUUGUCCACUCGGCGAAUUUGGAAUUGUGACUUUAAUUUUUUUCUUACCUGUGAGACCCUCUGGUCUCUAAUUAAUUCCAUUAUGAGAGUGUAUCAAUUUAACGGUCACGGGAAACGAUUAUAAUACUUAAUUAUGAUGCACUGUUAUGAUGGUGAUAUAAAAAAUAUAACUUUUAAAAAUUGAAAAGAUGUCACUAGUUGCUUGAUUCAAAAUUCAAAAUUAACAACAGUGCUGCUCCAGUCGGUUGUGGUUGUUGACCGAACUUCUUUGUUUAAACUUUAAUAAUAACUUACCGACGUACUGAGAAAACCAAUACCUUUUUUAUCGCCGGAGUUUUGAACAAUAAAAAAAUCAAGGCUUAUUCAAAUUCAAAUACAUCGAACAAUGAAAUUCUUAGCAAUUUAAAACUUCGUACAAUUACAGAAGUAAUGGUGAAUGCUAAAAACAGAUUCGUAAAAUUUGAACGGAUAAUGUCAGACAUUAAAAACAAUUAUCACUUACGUGAUAAAUUAGAAUCAUCACCAAACGCCUGUUUCUCGAUGAAUGUUUACUUCACUGUACGACGCUUCAGCAACCCACCCUCCUCGUUUUCUUUAUUUACUGAUCUAUUAUCAAUAGUUAAUGUCGCCAUACAUGCUGGUGCAUAUGGCACUCACAAAAUCAAUCCUGCUACGAUAUACCUCUUUCCGCUGCAGCUAAGAUUGAGAAGGAUUCAAUUCAACGAAUUGUUUAGAAUCUGUAUUCAUCGACGUAGAACAAUCUUGUGCUUUUUUCUGUGUCUUCUGAUUCCCUUGACCGCAAGGACAUCACGCAAAAUCUAUAAUUUUCAAAUACUUUCAAAAUUCGCAAAUAUGGCGACUGUCGCUAAACACUCACCUUGGACACCUUAGCCCACUGAUGCAAUUUCUAGUGACUACUAAAGGAUUCGUCGGAUGCAGCUACAUAAUUCUUCUACUAAUGUACUACAUCCAUGGGUUUGUCAUGAACACCAUGCGUGUGCAGAUACAAGAUCAUGUAUCAUAUUUUGGAAAAUAUGAACCAAGUAGAUUUUAUAUGGUCUGCUCAUUUUUGUAGUGAAUAUGAAGGCCAUUGCAGUUUGUGUACUCUUGAUAUCAUCGAUACCACUUUGGUAGAAAUGGCCUUCAGCUAAUUAAAAACAGAACUCAGAAUGUUCACCUCAUGCAGGACACAUCAUAUAGAAUAUUGAUAUAGCAUAUACUUAUGUAUAUGUGUAGAAUGUGGUAUAUAUCUCAUAUACUCUGCAAAGGAUGAGUCCACAAUAAAGCGUCAGCUCCACAGAAGAAAUUCUGGUUUUUGAUAACUGCUGUUCCCUUGAGUGGACAUGGGGUGAUGAUGCCCCUGCAUACUACACUCAUUUUUUGCAGUUGGGGAAUGUUACAAGGAAAUAUCGCUGAUUGUCUAACGACCCGUGCUACCUGGAUGAGUUCUUACGGCAUAGGCUGCUUGGCACAAAUAUCUGGUGUGCCACAAAUUUCACCACUUGGGAGUUUUUGUGCAAACCUGUUAUUUUGAAUGGGGGAAGUUACAAGGAAAUGUCAUUGGUCUGUCCAAUGGCCUGUACUGCCGGGAUGAGAUCUUGCUGGCCAUGAGUUAAUUCGGUGACAAUAAUAUAUUGUUUACAAAAUAAUAAUAAUAUGUGUUAUUAGAGCCCUGAAUAAAAAUCCGGUCUCAUUCCUUUGUAAUUCAUUGGCGUCAAUCUUUUCUAAUAAAAAAAAAACGACAUCAAAAUAUCUCAAACUUCUGUUAGAAAUUUCAUUUGCGACUUUACCGGCGACUACUAAACAGUAAAUCAUUGAGAAAUCCCCAAUGAAAUUCAGCAGCACCCUUUCCGAUCACUCCUCCAGAUUUGAUCACGCUGGUCAUUUAGGUUUGGGAGCGAGUCCAGUUAAUCUGAAGUGUGCGGGAGUGGACUGUGGCUUGUAAAGCAGAUUAUGGAUAUUGUUUAGAAUUUACACGCUGAUAGUCCUUGGGAGUGAAAUUUUUCUGACAAACAUUUUUAAACUAGUGAAAAAUUAUCACCAUGUAGUUUAUCUGCAAGUUUGUAGCGGGGUGAAUUGAAAGAGAACUUUUAAUAUUAAGUGUAAAAAAAUAUAUUCAACAAAUAGCAAUAAUACAUCAAUUUCUAGUGAUGUAAAUAUAUGUAGUCAAAUUCAGUAUCACAUUGCUCACCAAAUAUUAAAACAUAUGAAUUUCCUAGGAAUAUAAAAGAUUUACAAUUUAGUUGAUUAACUGCUCUGGUUAACAAAAAUCUCACUCACUCACUCUCUCUCUCUCUUUCUGUCUUUCCGUCUCUCUCUUGGCACAUGAAAUUCUUCGUUACUAGUCAUUAACCACCUGCCUUCGACAAAUGCCCCGAUUAACAUACCUGGAUU